GUGGGCGUGCCGGAGUCGUUAUUGGGCAUGACUAGAAAUCAAGGGAGCUCUACCCGUGCAGGCUCGAAUCCUGUUGCUCACG
rnacentral:tRNA from 1 species